GUGAAUGAAGCGGGAGGUAA
rnacentral:miRNA from 1 species